rnacentral:misc_RNA from 1 species
CUACAACGGCGUCACCUACGUCAUGGAGCGCACCGAGGAGUUCCCCGGCGUCGUCGUUAACGAUGACUACGUCCGCAACUACCCCAAGGGGGAUGCGGCGGCCCACAUCCUUGGUUACACCGGUGCCAUCACCCAGGAGGAGCUAAAACAGGACACCUUCGCGGGACUCUCCAACGACUCCGUCGUCGGGAAGAGCGGGGUCGAGCUCUACUACGAGGAGGUGCUGCGCGGCAAGGCCGGCAAGCAGGUCUACAAGGUGGACGCGCUCGGGCGGAUCGUGCCCGACGGCAGCCGGGUUGACUCCCUGGGAAGGUGCGUGGAUGAGAACGGAGACCCGAUCGCGGUCGACCCGAGCAAGGAGCUCCCCGACCACGUCGAGGAUCCAGUGCCGGGCCAGGACCUGAACCUGACCAUAGACCUCGACCU